GUGGAAGGCUGAGUGAGAGAGACACUGCCAACCGCCGCCAUGACAAGCAGCAUGUGAAGAUGCCUGUAAGCCAUGAGACAUGUGGCAAGCUGACUCCAUGUGAAUUGUAAUCACAAUUUGUUUUCAUCCUCGAAUGAAAGUUAAGAAAUUCCCCAGUGAACUCCAAUAAUAUCCAAGCAAGUGGGAAGAAGUUAUUUACUGCUGGAACAAACAUUGGAGACUUCCUUCUGAACUGUGGGGUACAUAAAGG